rnacentral:misc_RNA from 1 species
AUAUCUCAACACAGACAGGUUUUACCACCUGUUCUGGUUGCUUGGAUGUUGAAGGUUUGCUGGUGGGAUGACUUUCCUUUGCCAGCUCCUUUUAAAGUCAUUAGCAGAAAACAAGGCAAACAAAUCUGGCUUCAGUCUGAUAAAGCACAUCUCUGUUUUUGCUGUUGCUAGUGAAAAGCUAUUGUUUCAGCUUCCAACUGUCCACUUUGAUGGACUGUCUCAUCAGAGGCACAUUUAUUUCAC